rnacentral:SRP_RNA from 1 species
AAUGAUUAAGGGCAAUGGUGAGAUUGCCAAGCGUGUCAGGUCUGGAAGGAAGCAGCACUACGCAGUUGUCACCAUGUGCCUAUUUUUUUGUCUUUAAA